rnacentral:rRNA from 1 species
GCGCAAUAAUAGAAACUAACCAGGAUUCCCUUAGUAACGGCGAGUGAAGUGGGAAGCAAUGCAUACGUCGCGUAAUUUAUUACGUGUUCGUAGCUUAGCCCGUCGAUAUAAUCCAUUCUUAGCUGUCGUACUUCGGUACAUCCGCUGGAAGGAAUUGUAGCAUCGAAAGCAUUCAAGUUGUAUUCAUACUGCAAGCAUAAUAAUACACACAUACACACCCCGCUGCAAGUACUAUCGUAAUACAUACAGUGUAUCAUAUAUACGAUUCAAACACACAGCGUUUAGCGCUGGAAAGCAAUCAUUGUAGUUUUACUACAGCCAUAGAGUGUGACAGCCACGUUUUAUGAAAUUUGAUAUACUCUCUCGUAAGUACACACACGCAGUCUUAUAUUAUAUAUGCUCCAUGCAGUGAUAUAUAUACGCAUCACGCGUCGAAUACGUAAUUCGUGAAUGUUGACCCUGAGUCGAGUUGUUU